UACAGAGGUCUCAAGCGUUGUUCGGAUUCAUUGGGCGUAAAGGGUGCGUAGGCGGCGCGGUAAGUCGGGUGUGAAAUCUUGGAGCUUAACUCCGAAACUGCAUUCGAUACUGCCGUGCUUGAGGACUGGAGAGGAGACUGGAAUUUACGGUGUAGCGGUGAAAUGCGCAGAUAUCGGGAGGAACACCGGUGGCGAAGGCGGUUCUCUGGGCCUGUGCUGACGCUGAGGCACGAAGGUCAGGGGAGCAAACGGG
rnacentral:rRNA from 1 species